AAGCUCAAUUUAGUUUUGACAUUUUUAAUUGAUUUUCUAACAACUCUCUGUUCUCCUGAAAGUUGGAAUAAACACAUGACACAAGAAAAGAAUCUGUUUGCAAGUUCAUCACAUAUCUCAAAUAGUAUUCAAGGUUGAAGCGUUGGUUUUCACGAUAUCUAUUAUCUUUAUGUCUCAAAAUGCUUUCUCUGCUGACUGACAGGAGGGUUAUCGGAUUAGUGGAAAAUCCUGCUCAUUGGACUUUGGUUGAUGCUAAAGGUGUUGGCAAAUUCUAAUACCCAAACAAGUGACUAAAAAAUGCAGAAUCCCUGUAUCCUUUCUUAGAACUGGGACAAGUUAUUGUGAACCAGUUUGAAGCAAUGGCUGCCCAUGGACCAUUAGGCGGAGAGGGGAAGGGGGAAAGGGGAAAAGGGCUCUCGUUUGAACUGUGAAUCCCACUAAUAGUCAAUCCAUUGAUAAUCUCUUAAAAAGAGAGCAUGAAUGAUCACAUAUUGAGUCGAGUGUCUCAGUACGUGAUCUAGCAAAGUGGUAGAGGGAAAUCCCUACAGGUUAGUGAUUCAUUACUGGUGAAAGAGUGGGAUCACACACUAAGCUUCUCAAAAACUAAAGUUAUCCUAAACGCAUGCCACUUCUCUGGUGGACUAUAUUGGAGAGGUAUUAUUAGGUGUUUAAAAAGGAUUUGUAUUGACAAUUAAGUAAAGGUUGGCCUCUCCUCCUCAAUGUUUCGACAAAGAGCAUCAAUGUGUUGCCGGAUUUUCUUUUCCAAGGCAUUGAGAAUUUAUUGUUUGAUUGGUUUAUACCAUCUGCUAUCAUGAGUUUCCUGCGAGAGUGUUUGAACAGGAUAAGCAAUGGAGUGUGUGCGCGCGCGCGCGCUGGCAUUAGAAUUGGUCCACUAAGCCCAACACAGCUGUCCUGCUAUGAUGCCUUGUUCUAAUAACAAUAUGCAAGGGUUUGGUUUUGGCCCUUCUUUAUCUGAUAAUUUUACAGGUUUAAUUCUAUAUGGUGUUGGCUCACUGUAACUAGCUGAGAUUCAAAAAAAUCAAUGUAUUAUUUUAGUUAUUUUAAUUAUUUUUACAGUUAAUUUUAGAUUUUAA